rnacentral:rRNA from 1 species
GGGGACCUACGGGGGGCAGCAGUGGGGAAUAUUGCGCAAUGGGCGAAAGCCUGACGCAGCGACGCCGCGUGAGGGAUGAAGGUCUUCGGAUCGUAAACCUCUGUCAGCAGGGAAGAACGGUCACUGUGCUAAUCAGCAGUGAAUUGACGGUACCUGCAACGGAAGCACCGGCUAACUCCGUGCCAGCAGCCGCGGUAAUACGGAGGGAGCGAGCGUUAAUCGGAAUUACUGGGCGUAAAGCGCUCGUAGGCGGUAUGUCAAGUCAAGGGUGAAAUCCCCGCGAUGAACGUGGGCACUGCCUUUGA